rnacentral:rRNA from 1 species
AUUGAACGCUGGCGGCAGGCCUAACACAUGCAAGUCGAACGGUAACAGGAAGAAGCUUGCUUCUUUGCUGACGAGUGGCGGACGGGUGAGUAAUGUCUGGGAAACUGCCUGAUGGAGGGGGAUAACUACUGGAAAUGGUAGCUAAUACCGCAUAACGUCGCAAGACCAAAGAGGGGGACCUUCGGGCCUCUUGCCAUCGGAUGUGCCCAGAUGGGAUUAGCUAGUAGGUGGGGUAACGGCUCACCUAGGCGACGAUCCCUAGCUGGUCUGAGAGGAUGACCAGCCACACUGGAACUGAGACACGGUCCAGACUCCUACGGGAGGCAGCAGUGGGGAAUAUUGCACAAUGGGCGCAAGCCUGAUGCAGCCAUGCCGCGUGUAUGAAGAAGGCCUUCGGGUUGUAAAGUACUUUCAGCGGGGAGGAAGGGAGUAAAGUUAAUACCUUUGCUCAUUGACGUUACCCGCAGAAGAAGCACCGGCUAACUCCGUG